rnacentral:rRNA from 1 species
UGGUUUGUCGCGUUGUUCGUGAAAUCUCACGGCUUAACUGUGAGCGUGCGGGCGAUACGGGCAGACUUGAGUACUGCAGGGGAGACUGGAAUUCCUGGUGUAGCGGUGGAAUGCGCAGAUAUCAGGAGGAACACCGGUGGCGAAGGCGGGUCUCUGGGCAGUAACUGACGCUGAGGAGCGAAAGCGUGGGGAGCGAACAGGAUUAGAUGCCCUGGUAGUCCACGCCGUAAACGGUGGGUACUAGGUGUGGGUUUCCUUCCUUGGGAUCCGUGCCGUAGCUAACGCAUUAAGUACCCCGCCUGGGGAGUACGGCCGCAAGGCUAAAACUCAAAGAAAUUGACGGGGGCCCGCACAAGCGGCGGAGCAUGUGGAUUAAUUCGAUGCAACGCGAAGAACCUUACCUGGGUUUGACAUGCACAGGACGCCGGCAGGGAUGUCGGUUCCCUUGUGGCCUGUGUGCAGGUGGUGCAUGGCUGUCGUCAGCUCGUGUCGUGAGAUGUUGGGUUAAGUCCCGCAACGAGCGCAACCCUUGUCUCAUGUUGCCAGCGGGUAAUGCCGGGGACUCGUGAGAGACUGCCGGGGUCAACUCGGAGGAAGGUGGGGAUGACGUUAAGUCAUCAUGCCCCUUAUGUCCAGGGCUUCACACAUGCUACAAUGGCCGGUACAAAGGGCUGCGAUGCCGCGAGGUUAAGCGAAUCCUUUUAAAGCCGGUCUCAGUUCGGAUCGGGGUCUGCAACUCGACCCCGUGAAGUCGGAGUCGCUAGUAAUCGCAGAUCAGCAACGCUGCGGUGAAUACGUUCCCGGGC